CACUAUGCCUGGCCGUAAACAUAGACAGUCCACAUACCCCACUGUCCGCCCGGGGACUACGAGCAUUAGCUUAAAACCCAAAGGACUUGGCGGUGCUUUAUACCCACCUAGAGGAGCCUGUUCUAGAACCGAUAACCCCCGUUCAACCUCACCCUUCCUUGUUCUUCCCGCCUAUAUACCGCCGUCGUCAGUUUACCCUGUGAAGGCCCAAUAGUAAGCAAAAUCGGCACAGCCCAAAACGUCAGGUCGAGGUGUAGCGUAUGGAAGGGGAAGAAAUGGGCUACAUUCCCUAUCAUAGGGCAUACGGAUGAUUACGCUGAAACGCAUAUCUGAAGGAGGAUUUAGCAGUAAGCAGAAAGUAGAGUGUUCUGCUGAAGCCGGCUCUGAAGCGCGUACACACCGCCCGUCACUCUCCCCAAGCUAACACACAAACUAAUUAAAACACCACAACUGCAAAGGGGAGGCAAGUCGUAA
rnacentral:rRNA from 1 species